UAACGCGAAGAACCUUACCUACCCUUGACAUGUCCGAGAGCCUGCUGAGAGGCGGGUGUGCUCGAAAGAGAAUCGGAACACAGGUGCUGCAUGGCUGUCGUCAGCUCGUGUCGUGAGAUGUUGGGUUAAGUCCCGCAACGAGCGCAACCCUUGUCCCUAGUUGCUACGCAAGGGCACUCUAGGGAGACUGCCGGUGACAAACCGGAGGAAGGUGGGGAUGACGUCAAGUCCUCAUGGCCCUUAUGGGUAGGGCUUCACACGUCAUACAAUGGCCGGUACAGAGGGUUGCCAAAGCGCGAGCUGGAGCCAAUCCCCAUAAAAGCCGGUCGUAGUCCGGAUUGCAGUCUGCAACUCGACUGCAUGAAGUCGGAAUCGCUAGUAAUCGCGGAUCAGCAUGUCGCGGUGAAUACGUUCCCGGGCCUUGUACACACCGA
rnacentral:rRNA from 1 species